rnacentral:rRNA from 1 species
GACAGAGGUGCCGAGCGUUAGGCGGAAUCACUGGGCUUAAAGCGUGUGUAGGCGGGCCGUUAAGUGCCCCGUGAAAUCCCCCGGCUCAACCAGGGAACGGCGGGGCAUACUGGCGGCCUUGAGCCACUUAAGGGCAGACGGAACAAGCGGUGGAGCGGUGAAAUGCGUAGAUAUUGCUCGGAAGGCCAGAGCCGAAGGGGCCCUACUGGUGCGCAACUGACACUGAGGCACGAAAGCGUGGGGAGCAAACAGG